AUGAGAGAGGCGGGGUCUGGAAGGUGGUCCUGUAAGCAAGCCAGGCCACACCUGGGGCCCAGUCAGCCUGCCACCGUCCGGCGCUCCCCACACUCACCGGGCCCGGCUGCUGGACUCCCAGUCCAUCCGCUUCUGAGCUCUGCCAGGACUGUCCCAGUAGGCGGGAAAGCAUCCCAGCUGGGUGAUGCCUGUGAGUCCUCGGGCCUGGCUUCGGGAGGCUGCCUGGGGGCCAGGACUGGAGAACAGGGGACUAGUUCGAAGGGCUGGGAGGAGGAGUGGGGGCCAAGAGAGUGGAGUAGCAGAAGAGGCGAGCGAACCGGACUGGGCGCCUGGCAGCAGCUCUGGAGGGAGCAGCGGCUCUGGAGGCCUUGGAGGCUGGCUGGCCCUCACAAAUCACACAAACAUCACAAUCACACCGAUCCUGCCUGUCCGCUGGAAGCAAUGAUGGUGGCCUCAGCUAAUGAAUAUCAUCGAGGGACUGAGAUCAUAAUGAAUGUUAAGAAAUGAAGGGAAAGCAAUUUCAACCAGAGUAGGUUGAAUUUGUCCUAAACAGAAGGUCUGACUCCAUAAUUUCAAUGCCUUUUUGUGUUUUCUGUCAAUUCUCCAAACUUAAAUGUGAACCAUUAGAGCACUUAUCAUAUUGCAUUUUAAUUACAGGUCUCCUUGCCAUCUCUCUGGUCUUCCAGACUGUGGAAUCUUCCUUUAGCACCAUCUUUUAUUAGCCUUUUAAACAAAGCACCUGUCAUAAAGUCUGGUCCACAAUAGACACUCUAUAAGUGGUAAGCGAAUUCUGUCCCAUUGCUGUGCUGAGCCAUGUCUAAGAACCCAAGACUAUGAUAAUUUGUCUUUUCUCUGAAGUUUCAGGGCACUGGUCUGGUCUAUUCAUAUAUUUUCAUGAAUUGCUUUACAACUUUUAAAUGGGUUCUGAAAGUUCAUUGGAAUAUUUUCCACUCGCAGAAAAAAAACAUGUUACAAAUGUGAUCAUUGCCUAAGCUAGCCCACAAAUCCCAUUUUUUUUUUAAAGCCAGCAUAUUCAGCUCCGCAGCGCUUAUGGAAUACUCAAGUCUGCACUAGAGAUAAAGCAGUGAGUAGGGUCUGUCUUCAAGGAGCCCACAAUCCAAGAGAGCGGUGAAGGGUGACACCACCUCGCAGGGCACAGAGUGGGGAGUGUUAACUCUGGUGGCCAUCACAAAGGCUUUCUAGGGAAGGUGACAGCUGAGCAAGGUUUUGAAGGUGAAUUGUUCAGCCGGGUGGCAAGACUGGAAGGGAGGGAAUUCUGGGAGAAGCAGGAGAGACAGAGAGGCCUGAAGAGCCGCCAGGCUGGGCGGCAGGGCAGGUGAGUGACCUGGGGUCUGGGGCCGCAGGGGAAGCAGAGAGCUUUUAAGGGACCGAAGGGCUUGGCCUUUAGUCGGUAGGUAAUGGGGAUGCUUCGGGAAGAGAAGUGCUGAGAUGACUCCCGUCCGGUUGCAGAAUGGAGAGCAUGGGUUGGGGGUGCAGUUGCCACGGGCAGAGGCCAAGAGGAAGGCGUCUGGCCAGCCCACGUGGGACGUAGGCAAGGUCUUCAAAAAUCCCAUGACAAUGCACACUACGAAAAAAAAAAAAACUAUGCCUGGAUUUCAAAAAUAUUUUUACACCAAAAUAAACUUCUUCCACAAACUUUUUGAAGCA
ensembl:lncRNA